CCUACGGGAGGCUGCAGUGGGGAAUAUUGCACAAUGGGCGAAAGCCUGAUGCAGCAACGCCGCGUGAGCGAUGAAGGCCUUCGGGUCGUAAAGCUCUUUUCUCAAGGAAGAUAAUGACGGGACUCGAGGAGGAAGCCCCGGUAAAUUACGUGCCAGCAGCCGCGGGAAUACGUGGGGGGCUAGGGUGAUCCGGAUUUAUUGGGCGUAAGGGGUGCGUAGGUGGUUUCUUAGGUCAGAGGUGAAAGGCUACGGCUAAACCGUAGUAAGCCUUUGAAACUGGGGAACUUGAGUGCAGGAGAGGAGAGUGGAAUUCCUAGUGUAGCGGUGAAAUGCGUAGAUAUUAGGAGGAACACCAGUUGCGAAGGCGGCUCUCUGGACUGUAACUGACACUGAGGCACGAAAGCGUGGGGAGCAAACAGGAUUAGAUACCCCAGUAGUC
rnacentral:rRNA from 1 species